rnacentral:misc_RNA from 1 species
UCUCCGUAGGUGAACCUGCGGAGGGAUCACUACAGGCUUGCAAAAGCUCUGAAACCACUGUUUAUCUACCUGAAUCUGCUUCGGCGGGCGGCCCCAUGGCGGAGCCGUAGCCGCAAGGCGCCCGCCGAAGACCCCUAAACUCUGUCGUCUUUAGAAUCUCUGAGUAAUUAUAUUAAACAAAAAACAACUUUCAACAACGGAUCUCUUGGCUCUG